CCGUUAAAAUUCCUCAAUCCUUAGAAAAUGGUACACAGAGGAAUAAAAGUUCAGGAAAGAAAAGGAAGCGUCCUUUGCCUGACAAAAGAUGGAGAAAGCACAUUUCUUUUAAAAAAGGUCGUACCCAGUGCACAAGGCUCCCGCUUUACGCAGGGUCUGGGAGAGGUGAAUGUCGGCUAGCCUUACCCCCAUUUAUGGAGAGGCUGCUCCCAAGAGAAAGCACAUUUCUUUUGAGGAAAAUAAUUUGCAUGAAAGUGGUACGUUCAGUGUUGUCACUGCUUAUGGUGGUGUUAGGCAGAUGUAUGGUACAACGACACUCCCAGCUGUGAAGAAGAAAACCAAGAUGAUGUUGGAGAUGUAGAUGAUGAUGAUGAGUAUCCGCAUGUUACCCUAGAACGCAGUGGGAAAUUAAAUGUGGUUUCACAAGUGCUUAAAGUUUGGAAAGGAUCAAGGGCAUCGUGUUCUUCUUUUUUUCGCAAACUCAGCAAAUGCUUGACAUUAUUGAAAGUUUUCUGGUUGCUGAUGGUUAUAGUUACUGGAGGAUGGAUUGUCUUACUCCCAUCAAACAGAGGAUGGCCUUAAUAGAUGAAUUUAACAACUCAAGUGAUGUGGUUGUUUUCCUUUUAACAACUAAGGUGGGUGGUUUAGGAACAAAUCUGACAGGUGCAAAUAGGGUGAUCAUCUUUGAUCCCAACUGGAACCCUUCAACUGACAUGCAGGUAUAUGAUGGUGGACUUACUAUUCUUCUAGUUUUCAGUUUGAUGCAAAUGUUUGAACUUGGAAACUUGUCUUCUCCUCUGUAAAAUUGUACGAUAGAAUCAUAGAUAUGUCCCCCUUGCAAAAUUAUGAACAUUUUAGGAGGAUGGAUCCUUCUAUUAUAUUUCUUAUUGAAGUAAUACCUACAGGAUUUUCGUUAAACCUUGUUUAGAAUAGUUGAUUUGUGCCUUGUUAAACCUUGUAAUCUGGGU